GUCUCUUGCCACACCAUCCUGGAUACGCCUGCUGUUGUCACAUCUCAUAAGUUAAGCAGGGUUGGGCUUGGUCAGUGCUUGGAAGAGAGAGAAAGAAGCCAAGCACAGGUGAAC
ensembl:rRNA 5S_rRNA 5S ribosomal RNA